AACGCUUCUUGACCUUUGGGCUAAGAUCAAGUCUAGUAACUGUUCUUAUCAGUUUAAUAUCUGAUAUGUUCUCUAUCCGAGGACAAUAUAUUAAAUGGGUUUUUGGAGCAGGGAGGUGGAAUAGGAGCUUGCUCUCUCCACUCCACGCAUCGACCUGGUAUUGCAGUAGCUCCACGAACUGUGCACCCCUU
ensembl:snRNA U2 U2 spliceosomal RNA